CUCAGGACGAACGCUGGCGGCGUGCCUAAUACAUGCAAGUCGAACGCUUUUUCUUUCACCGGAGCUUGCUCCACCGAAAGAAAAAGAGUGGCGAACGGGUGAGUAACACGUGGGUAACCUGCCCAUCAGAAGGGGAUAACACUUGGAAACAGGUGCUAAUACCGUAUAACACUAUUUUCCGCAUGGAAGAAAGUUGAAAGGCGCUUUUGCGUCACUGAUGGAUGGACCCGCGGUGCAUUAGCUAGUUGGUGAGGUAACGGCUCACCAAGGCAACGAUGCAUAGCCGACCUGAGAGGGUGAUCGGCCACACUGGGACUGAGACACGGCCCAGACUCCUACGGGAGGCAGCAGUAGGGAAUCUUCGGCAAUGGACGAAAGUCUGACCGAGCAACGCCGCGUGAGUGAAGAAGGUUUUCGGAUCGUAAAACUCUGUUGUUAGAGAAGAACAAGGAUGAGAGUAAAAUGUUCAUCCCUUGACGGUAUCUAACCAGAAAGCCACGGCUAACUACGUGCCAGCAGCCGCGGUAAUACGUAGGUGGCAAGCGUUGUCCGGAUUUAUUGGGCGUAAAGCGAGCGCAGGCGGUUUCUUAAGUCUGAUGUGAAAGCCCCCGGCUCAACCGGGGAGGGUCAUUGGAAACUGGGAGACUUGAGUGCAGAAGAGGAGAGUGGAAUUCCAUGUGUAGCGGUGAAAUGCGUAGAUAUAUGGAGGAACACCAGUGGCGAAGGCGGCUCUCUGGUCUGUAACUGACGCUGAGGCUCGAAAGCGUGGGGAGCGAACAGGAUUAG
rnacentral:rRNA from 1 species